UGCUCGAGUGGCGAACGGGUGAGUAACACGUGAGUAACCUGCCCUUGACUUUGGGAUAACUUCAGGAAACUGGGGCUAAUACCGGAUAGGAGUUCCUGCUGCAUGGUGGGGGUUGGAAAGUUUCGGCGGUUGGGGAUGGACUCGCGGCUUAUCAGCUUGUUGGUGGGGUAGUGGCUUACCAAGGCUUUGACGGGUAGCCGGCCUGAGAGGGUGACCGGCCACAUUGGGACUGAGAUACGGCCCAG
rnacentral:rRNA from 1 species